GGUUAGGAUUUCAUUUAGGCUUAGGAUUUGGUUUAGGAUUUGGUUUAGGAUUUGAUUUAGGGUUUGAUUGGAAUUUGGUUUAGAGUUUGGUUAGGGUUUCAUUUAUAGUUUAGGAUUUGAUUUAGGGUUUGGUUUAAGGUUUGGUUGGGGUUUAGUUUAGAAUUUGUUUAGGAUUUGGUUUAGGGUUUGUUUAGGGUUUGGUUUAGGAUUGAGGGUUCGGUUAGAAUUUUAUUUAGGAUUUAGAGUUUGAUUAAGGUUUCAUUUAGGAUUUAGGAUUUGGUUUAGGAUUUGGUUAAGGUUUGAUUUAGGAUUUGGUUAGAAUUUGGUUUAGGGUUUGUUUAGGAUUUGAUUAGGAUUUGGUUUAAGACUUAGAAUUUGGUUAGGAUUUAGUUAGGAUUUAAGGUUUGGUUUAAGAUUUAGAAUUUGAUUUAAGAUUUAGGAUUUGGUUUAGGAUUUGUUUAGGAUUUGGUUAGAAUUUCGUUUAAGAUUUGGUUAGAGUUUGGUUUAGGAUUUAGGGUUUGGUUUAGAAUAUAGGAUUUGAUUUAGAAUUUAGGAUUUUAUUUGGGUUUGUUUAGGAUUUAAGAUUUAAUUAGUUUAGGCCUAAAGUUUGAAUGAAGUCU
rnacentral:lncRNA from 1 species